rnacentral:rRNA from 1 species
UUGAACGCUGGCGGCAGGCCUAACACAUGCAAGUCGCACGGUAACAGAAAGCAGCUUGCUGCUUUGCUGACGAGUGGCGGACGGGUGAGUAAUGUCUGGGAAACUGCCUGAUCGAGGGGGAUAACUACUGGAAACGGUAGCUAAUACCGCAUAACGUCGCAAGACCAAAGAGGGGGACCUUCGGGCCUCUUGCCAUCGGAUGUGCCCAGAUGGGAUUAGCUAGUAGGUGGGGUAACGGCUCACCUAGGCGACGAUCCCUAGCUGGUCUGAGAGGAUGACCAGCCACACUGGAACUGAGACACGGUCCAGACUCCUACGGGAGGCAGCAGUGGGGAAUAUUGCACAAUGGGCGCAAGCCUGAUGCAGCCAUGCCGCGUGUAUGAAGAAGGCCUUCGGGUUGUAAAGUACUUUCAGCGGGGAGGAAGGGAGUAAAGUUAAUACCUUGGCUCAUUGACGUUACCCGCAGAAGAAGCACCGGCUAACUCCGUG